GAGCGCGUGCGCCGCGCGUUUCUACCUGCAGGUGCGAUAAUAACACGGUAAUUUGACAGGCACCUGUCAGAUUUUAGCUAAGAACUGACGCUAUAAUGCGGAGGUGGCUCGAUGUUGGUGGCGACUGUACCGGAAGAAGUCUCACGGCAAAAAGGCGUGCAAGGCCGCCGGUACUUUCGACCGGUACCUUCGGCUCGAAGAUUCGUAGGAAGCCGCUAGAAAGAAAAAGAGAGGAAGGAAUAGAGAGAGACGGAAAGAGAGGUAAAGACAAAGGGAAAUAAGACGGAACGCCGUGGGAAGAAAGAGAGGAAAAGAGCAGACAGAAGAAAAAGCGACAAUAAGGAGAGUCCGGUGAACCUCUCGGUUGGAAGGAACCAAGAAACUGGGGAAAGAGGCUCAAAGUUUGAGAACUUUUCGAUUUCCAUUACGGUGAGUGACAGAAGAUGGUCCACGUUAAAACUACGGCGGUCGGUGACCGUACAAGGUUUGGCAGCCACUUGUUGAGUAAUCUACUUAGUUCGAUGGACGAGCAGCGCAGGAAGGGAUCGGCAAUGACGCGACGAAAAAGGAAAAGACGAAGAGAAGCUGGAGGAAAGUGUUACUCGACGCUCAAGCAUCUCCAUUCUGUUAACUUUUAGUUACUGGCAUUUCUCGUGCACAUUUAUCGCAUUGUUCCCAAAAGUCGUAUUCGUCAGAAACAUGUGUACAACGUUUCAAAACUAAUUUUACUUUUAUCAACUAU